UGGGGAAUAUUGCACAAUGGGCGCAAGCCUGAUGCAGCGACGCCGCGUGCGGGAUGGAGGCCUUCGGGUUGUAAACCGCUUUUGUCGGGGAGCAAGCCUUCGGGUGAGUGUACCCUUCGAAUAAGCACCGGCUAACUACGUGCCAGCAGCCGCGGUAAUACGUAGGUG
rnacentral:rRNA from 1 species